rnacentral:rRNA from 1 species
GCAGUGGGUACGGGCAGACUAGAGUGCGGUAGGGGAGAUUGGAAUUCCUGGUGUAGCGGUGGAAUGCGCAGAUAUCAGGAGGAACACCGAUGGCGAAGGCAGAUCUCUGGGCCGUAACUGACGCUGAGGAGCGAAAGCAUGGGGAGCGAACAGGAUUAGAUACCCUGGUAGUCCAUGCCGUAAACGUUGGGAACUAGAUGUGGGGGCCAUUCCACGGUCUCCGUGUCGCAGCUAACGCAUUAAGUUCCCCGCCUGGGGAGUACGGCCGCAAGGCUAAAACUCAAAGGAAUUGACGGGGGCCCGCACAAGCGGCGGAGCAUGCGGAUUAAUUCGAUGCAACGCGAAGAACCUUACCAAGGCUUGACAUAUACCGGAAACGUCCAGAGAUGGUCGCCCCGCAAGGUCGGUAUACAGGUGGUGCAUGGUUGUCGUCAGCUCGUGUCGUGAGAUGUUGGGUUAAGUCCCGCAACGAGCGCAACCCUCGUUCUAUGUUGCCAGCACGUUAUGGUGGGAACUCAUAGGAGACUGCCGGGGUCAACUCGGAGGAAGGUGGGGAUGACGUCAAAUCAUCAUGCCCCUUAUGUCUUGGGCUUCACGCAUGCUACAAUGGCCGGUACAAAGGGCUGCGAUACCGUAAGGUGGAGCGAAUCCCAAAAAGCCGGUCUCAGUUCGGAUUGAGGUCUGCAACUCGACCUCAUGAAGUCGGAGUCGCUAGUAAUCGCAGAUCAGCAACGCUGCGGUGAAUACGUUCCCGGGCCUUGUACACACCGCCCGUCAAGUCAUGAAAGUCGGUAACACCCGAAGCCAGUGGCCUAACC